AUACGGAGGGUGCAAGCGUUGUUCGGAAUUAUUGGGCGUAAAGCGCGUGUAGGCGGUUUGUUAAGUCUGAUGUGAAAGCCCCGGGCUCAGCCUGGGAAGUGCAUUGGAAACUGGCAGACUUGAAUACGGGAGAGGGUAGUGGAAUUCCUAGUGUAGGAGUGAAAUCCGUAGAUAUUAGGAGGAACACCGGUGGCGAAGGCGGCUACCUGGACCGAUAUUGACGCUGAGACGCGAAAGCGUGGGGAGC
rnacentral:rRNA from 1 species